GUGAGGAAGAUAAUGACGGUACUCAACAAGGAAGUGACGGCUAACUACGUGCCAGCAGCCGCGGUAAAACGUAGGUCACAAGCGUUGUCCGGAAUUACUGGGUGUAAAGGGAGCGCAGGCGGGAAGACAAGUUGGAAGUGAAAUCCAUGGGCUCAACCCAUGAACUGCUUUCAAAACUGUUUUUCUUGAGUAGUGCAGAGGUAGGCGGAAUUCCCGGUGUAGCGGUGGAAUGCGUAGAUAUCGGGAGGAACACCAGUGGCGAAGGCGGCCUACUGGGCACCAACUGACGCUGAGGCUCGAAAGUGUGGGUAGCAAACAGGAUUAGAUACCCUGGUAGUCCACACUGUAAACGAUGAUUACUAGGUGUUGGAGGAUUGACCCCUUCAGUGCCGCAGUUAACACAAUAAGUAAUCCACCUGGGGAGUACGACCGCAAGGUUGAAACUCAAAGGAAUUGACGGGGGCCCGCACAAGCAGUGGAGUAUGUGGUUUAAUUCGACGCAACGCGAAGAACCUUACCAAGUCUUGACAUCCUGCGACGCACAUAGAAAUAUGUGUUUCCUUCGGGACGCAGAGACAGGUGGUGCAUGGUUGUCGUCAGCUCGUGUCGUGAGAUGWUGGGUUAAGUCCCGCAACGAGCGCAACCCUUAUGGUCAGUUACUACGCAAGAGGACUCUGGCCAGACUG
rnacentral:rRNA from 1 species